UACGGGGGGGGCAAGCGUUGUUCGGAAUUACUGGGCGUAAAGGGCUCGUAGGCGGCCAACUAAGUCAGACGUGAAAUCCCUCGGCUUAACCGGGGAACUGCCUCUGAUACUGGAUGGCUUGAGUUCGGGAGAGGGAUGCGGAAUUCCAGGUGUAGCGGUGAAAUGCGUAGAUAUCUGGAGGAACACCGGUGGCGAAGGCGGCAUCCUGGACCGACACUGACGCUGAGGUGCGAAAGCGUGGGGAGCAAACAGG
rnacentral:rRNA from 1 species